rnacentral:rRNA from 1 species
AUUGAACGCUGGCGGCAGGCCUAACACAUGCAAGUCGAACGAGUGGCGGACGGGUGAGUAAUGUCUGGGAAACUGCCUGAUGGAGGGGGAUAACUACUGGAAACGGUAGCUAAUACCGCAUACCAUCGGAUGUGCCCAGGUGGGAUUAGCUAGUAGGUGGGGUAACGGCACACCAAGGCGACGAUCCCUAGCUGGUCUGAGAGGAUGACCAGCCACACUGGAACUGAGACACGGUCCAGACUCCUACGGGAGGCAGCAGUGGGGAAUAUUGGACAAUGGGCGAAAGCCUGAUGCAGCCAUGCCGCGUGUGUGAAGAAGGCCUUCGGGUUGUAAAGUACUUUCAGUUGGGAGGCGUUACCCUCAGAAGAAGCACCGGCUAACUCCGUGCCAGCAGCCGCGGUAAUUC